rnacentral:rRNA from 1 species
UACGAAGGGGGCUAGCGUUGCUCGGAAUCACUGGGCGUAAAGCGCACGUAGGCGGAUUGCUAAGUCAGGGGUGAAAUCCUGGAGCUCAACUCCAGAACUGCCUUUGAUACUGGCGAUCUUGAGUCCGGGAGAGGUGAGUGGAACUCCGAGUGUAGAGGUGAAAUUCGUAGAUAUUCGGAAGAACACCAGUGGCGAAGGCGGCUCACUGGCCCGGUACUGACGCUGAGGAGCGAAAGCGUGGGGAGCGAACAGG